rnacentral:rRNA from 1 species
CCUACGGGAGGCAGCAGUGAGGAAUAUUGGUCAAUGGUCGGGAGACUGAACCAGCCAAGCAGCGUGAGGGAGGAAGGUACAGAGUAUCGUAAACCUCUUUUGUCAGGGAACAAAGACUGGGACGCGUCCCCGGAUGAGUGUACCUGAAGAACAAGCAUCGGCUAACUCCGUGCCAGCAGCCGCGGUAAUACGGAGGAUGCGAGCGUUCUCCGGAUUUAUGGGGUUUACGGGGUGCGCAGGCGGUCUGUUAAGUCAGCGGUCAAACCCCGGGGCCCAACCCCGGCCCGCCGUUGAAACUGGCAGUCUCGAGUGGGAGAGAAGUAUGCGGAAUGCGCGGUGUAGCGGUGAAAUGCAUAGAUAUCGCGCAGAACUCCGAUUGCGAAGGCAGCAUGCCGGCUCCACACUGACGCUGAGGCACGAAAGCGUGGGUAUCGAACAGGAUUAGAUACCCUGGUAGUC